AAGGAUAUAGACAGAGAAAGGUUAAGUAGCUUGCUCAAGGUUAUAAAGCUACCAUGUGAUGCUGCCGGUAUGCUGGGAGUUGAACCCAGGCAGGGUGCCUCCAGAGAUGUGUAAUGGCCCAGAGCGUGGAUUCUGGAGCCAGACAGCCUGGGUUUGUAUCCCAGCUUCUCCGUUUACUUGCUUUCCCCUCUGUCCCUCAGUUUCCCCACCAGGAAGAUAAGUAUGAGAAUUAUACCUAAUACGUAGUGCUGCUGGGUGGAUUAUAUGUGUAAAUGCCCGGAAAACGCUCAGAGAAGGGCUUGGGACAGGGAAGGCGCAGGUGGAGGGACUCACCUGCGACAGGAUUGGGUGCCUCUUCCACUGGGAGCAGAGGGAAGAAGCCAGCACAGGGCUGAUGGAGGGCUUCUCGUAAAGUGUUUGCCUAUUUAUGGGCCCUCUCUUGGGUCAGACAGGGCUCUCUGCUGGCAGCUUUGGAUGCUGCUUGCACUAGAAGCCGUCGGGACUUUGCUCAGUCGCUGUGGGACCUUCUGCAUGUGACUGUAAGCCUCAGCAUCCUCCCAGGCCAAGAGGGGCAGUGAUGCCUACCUGCCAGGCUGUGGGGAGGAUGCUAACACUCAUCCUGCAGAAGCUCCCUCUACCGCUUCUACAAACAUCGAAGAAUGGCAGGGGCCAGGCACUGUUCUGGAGUGAAAUUAUUAGUAUUUUUCUUGACGCCUCAGCACAGUACCUAGAUGCUCAUUAAAUGCUGGUCAGACGAGGAAAGAGGGUGUCUCCCGCAUGGAAUGAGAAACAGGUGAAGGAAGAGGUGCUAGAAUUAAUUAGAAGAGGAAUGUGGGUAGAGCCCCCCUCGCCCCUUUGCUCCAUAACAUGCACCCUCAGAUGUCCUCAGGGAUCACUUGCCUCACUCCUUCUGGGACAGCAUUUGCUCUGUGGGCUGAUGGGCAGAUCCCUGGUUACAUGCACAUGCGACCUAGAAGAUUAGAGUUGGGGUUGUGUGCACCUGGGGAUGGGAAGCCCGGCCUCUGGGCCAGCGGAGGAUUUGCUUCCGAAGACCUUUGCUCUGAGGGCUCCUUGAAAUCAAACCCACUUGACUUGGCUGCAUGAUUUCCCCAGUUACGGGAGGAGUUUGUUCCGGGGAUAGUGUGGGUUCUGGGCAGGACUGGCUUCAGGAGCAUGGACCUGGGGGGUCAUACCAAGCCCCAGAUUUGAAAGGGAUGGUUUAAUGCUUUGCUGUUGUCAUCUUGAAAUUCUUAAUGAUUUUGAGCAAGGGGUCCUACAUUUUCAUUUUGCACGGGCCCUGCUAAUUAUGUGGCCUGUCCUGGUUCUCGGCCCUGGGGUGCUUGCGGUCUCCCUGCCCAUAAUGAACCUGGGAGGGCCCGCAUCUGCACGUGACAGAAGCUGAGAGCUUCAUGGCCAGGCCAGAGGGGCUGGGGAAGGCAGCCUGUGUCUCUGUCCCUCCAGAGGCCUGGGGUAGGGGUAAGAUUUGUGGUAUUGGGUAAAGCACGCUGGUCAGACAACUGGGUUUGUAUCCUCACUCUGCCACCAGGCAGCUGUGUGCUCUUAAGCAGGUAAUGGACAUCUCUGAGCCUGUUUCCUCAUCUAUAGGAUGGGGAUAGGGUGACCACAUCACAGUCCGAGGGUUAAAUUAGCUAAUGUAUGGAAAGUACUUGGUUCAUAGCUGGUGCUUAGCUGAUGUCUGCUGGUAAGUGUGUGGUUGGGGUAGAAGGGCAGUUGGAUUGAGGGUAACAUGCUCCCGCUCUAGCCCGCUGUGGGAGAAGAGGCAUUGAGGCCCCCCUCUGCCAUCCUUGGAACCAUCUUCCAGGAAAUGGGUGGUCAGCUCUUCCUUCAAAGUGGCCCCCAUAGGGAGAACAAAUCCCAGCUCUGGUCCAGCGGUCAGAAUUUUAGGCUGCCAGGACAAGUUCCGGGGCCCUGAGGGACCCUGCUCCACCCUCCCCACACCUUUGCACAACCUAGUUUCCCGAGACCUUUUCCACUGGAACGCAGACCUUCCUCUGCACAUGGUGUCUAGGCUAGCCCAGCUUUCCCUGUAUAAUAGCAGUGAGCCUUCUUUCCGCAGGCCCUCCCCCUCCUGGGGACAGAGCCAUGGCCUGAGGUCACAUGCCGCCUCCUUUUCAACCCCCUUUUGUCCCCACCCCUUUUCUGAUCCUUGACUUACCCUGAGCUGGAUUAAGACCUUUAAGCAGCCCAGAGAGCUGAGAGGUUGAGGUGUACCUCCCCCACUCAUCUCCAUGCAAACUCAAAAUAAAGACCACUCUAAACCUUAAAAUUAGUGUGAGGAAGUCCAACAAAGUUCUGAUUUUUCCCAGGGUGACUACUUCCUUGCUAUUUUUGAAAUACUAGGAAUCAGCCCUUUAAAAAAACCAAACGAAAACCAGGACACUGUUGAUGCCCUUUUACUGCCAGUGCCCUAAGCACACGCUUAAUCUGUCUGUUGGGCAACCUGGCCUCGCCUGCCCCCUCCCCUGUGCCAGAGCCGGACAGAGGACUGGCCUGCAAUACAGGGCAUUGGGUCACUCUGCCCAGAGACUUCCCCAGGGGAGAGGGAAGCCCAGGGCCAAUCAGCCCCUGUUGGGGAGGUGACAUCAGGAAAGCCCAGAAGGUUCCACUUCCGCCCCUGCCACGGGUUGGGGGGUGGGGUGCACCCUCUCCUCCCCACUAGAGAGCAGCCAGAGCCAGCCCGGGCCCCCUUCCAGUCCUCCAGCUGGCCAAGGACGGCUGGGCUGGGCUGUGUUAGUCCCUAGGCCUGUUGCCCUGCACUCCACACCUGUCAGGCAGGUCUCCCUGCCCUGAGCCACUCCUCGUCCUUCCUGUGGGGGAGGGAGCCAUCGAGUGCUGGGACUUCUGCAGACUGGCUUUUCCAGAUCCUGCUUGUAAACUCUGGUUACAAAUGAACCCCACAUGUCUGACGAGGAGGGUGCAGUGGUAGGAGGUAGAGAAGGUGAGGCAGGAGUCGAUGCACAAGCAGCAAGGCCAGUCCUCCUCAAGCACAAUCAGGGAGCACCCCAGAGAAAGAGGAUCCCGAGCAUCCUAGAAAAUUCUAAGUGGGAGGGGCCUUUUAGAGCACUCCAUUCUGCAGAGAGAAAACAGGCCUAGAUAGAAAGAAAAGAGCAGGUGGUUUCCACAAGGUGAGCAGCAGACACAUGGCAGGUCGAACAAAGCCCUCUUGGCCUUGUCUCAGUCCUCCGUUCUCCCUGAGUGAGUCAAGAGGACAGUCCUCUACCCCUGUCUGCUCCUCCCCCAGAGUCCCCUGCCUGCUACCCUCCCUGCCUUCUUGCUCAGCUGUCCUCCACCCAAUCAGCACCCUGGGCCUAUCCAUUGUCCCCUUUCCCCUCACCAAGGGAACACUCAUUUAUUUGUCGAGUGUCUCGCCCAUACAAAGCCAUGUGUUCUUCUGGAUAACAAACCGACGCCAGAGGUUAGCUGUUUUCUGCAGGCAAUUUCACAUUCCAGGGGAGAGAAGGGAAGGAAUGAGUAGAUUUGGGGCACUUUACAGGUGCAGGGCGUUUCCCCUACAUGACUGUGACCUUGGGAGUACCUCCAUCCCAGUGAUGAGCCCUGGAGUCACAGUUUCAAAGCGCUGGGCUCAAGGUUUCAAAGCAGCCAUGCUCCGGCUGGAGCCUGCCUCCAGACCUAUGCCCUUGCUUCUGCAGUGCACAACCUUACAACCCAGCCUGAAGGCUGCAGCCUGCAGUGAGCAGUCUGCGUGAUCUCGUUUCAUCCUUACAGCGCCCCUGACAGCGCCACUGCUAUCCCGCCUUUUUACAGGGGAAGCAACUGAGGCCCAGGGACACCCAACUAGAAACGAUCGGAGCUGGAAUUUGAACCCAGGGCUUCAUGCUGUAGGUCCACGUGCUUGAUCACGGCGCGGUCUGAGUCCUGCCGCACACGUCCAGCCCCUUGUCCCAUGGCCUGCGGUCUUGGGCUGUGUGUUUCGAGCCAGGUGUCUGGAGUCUCCCUGGGGAGGGCAGGGGCUGCGGGUCCUCGUUCUGAAGCUGGUGUUGGCAGACCGCCACUCUGGUAAGGCUUGGCAAAGAGGAGUUGCCGAUAUGGGCUAAGAGUGCAGCUUGACAUGUGUGUCUUUUGCUCUCUUGCCCUUUUUGGGGGUUCUAGCUUUGUCCCCAUUGUUCUGGGGGGGAUUGAUUAGGCUGUGUUUCCUUCCUCACCAAGUGCUUGCCCAGAAAAGGCCCUAAAAUACACAGAUGGGGUGCUUGGAAAGAAGUCUUUCAGGCUUUGGGAUUAGAUAGAAGGGGGUUCAGAUUUCUUCUGUACUAGUGAUCUUGGAGAAGUCACUCCGAGAGUCAAGUUUCUGUUCUGUGAGGUAGAAAGAAUGGUGCUUCCUUCAAAGCAGGAUACAGGGAAUCAAGUGAGAUACCAGAUGAUCGUGAACUAUGAGGUCCUCUCUAAUUGUUGAUUGCCAUGCACUGAUGCUGUUAUCUUCCUAAAGGAAAGAGUCAGUGUGGGGGUUAGUGCAGGUGGCUGGUUGGGAGAGUGACAAGUGGAAGGCUGGGAGGCUGUUGGUAAUGUGGAUUGUGCCCCAGAGCCCUGAGACUCCUGAGCUACAGGGGGAAGGCUACAGGUGGGGGCUGUCCCCUGUGCCCUGGCGUAUCAAGAACCUCACUUUGCCUGGGUUGCUGGGGGAGUGACAGGUGUUCACACUGCUCAGGGGUGGAAUGCACCAAUUGACCCUCCAGAGCGCAGGGCCCCAGGGCCUGUUGCCAGAUAGGAGCGGCCACAUUCCCUUCCGAGCUGAUUCUGCCCCCAAGAGUCCCCUCCCCCCAAAGAGGGGCUCUCUGACGUGUCUGGAAAGCUGCCUGGGUACGCAUGUCAGGGAUUCUUGUUUCCAAUGAGCCUGGUAGCUGUGGGGCGAUUGGAGGAUAGAAGGAAACUGCCUAAAUGGAGCCAGGGGUCCAUGGCUAGAAGAGGAGGGCCCUCCUGCUCCCGGCUGAUGCACUCUUCCUAGAUUAUGUAACCAUCUCCCUCAGCCCCCUGCAGGGUACGUACACAUGAUAACUUGGAAGAGAUACCCAUCUGGUUGAGGCAGGUCAUCAAAACUGGGAACAGUCCCUGCCAAACAGGAACAUCCUGCCCCCCUCAGCUGCGCAGAUGCUUGGGUUAUUUGGGAGGAAUGAGAGAUAUAAUCGCAUUCUCAGUCAGGAAGCAUGGCCUGUCCUUGCUUUAUGGGGUCUUCUAGUCAAUCAUGAUUUCUUCAGCAUUUGGAAUGUGGUCAUAAAUAAGCCAAAGUCCUUGUUGAUGUGCUCAGCUUAAUGAGGAAGAGUUCCACAAACACACGGCUUGGUAAUGGAGGGACCUCGGUUUUAGGUUGGGCACUUUGGCUUGGGUCUUGACAGGUGAGUAGGAGCUCAUGAGCAGCGAGAGGGAAAUUCCAGGUCUUCCUUGUCCACCAUUUAAGAUAAGAAACCACCCUUCGUGGAAUACAUGAGUGCUGGGAGGUGCUCUAAGUCUGUAGGAAAGCAUGACUCAGGAAUGAAGCCAUUCCGGGUCUGAUGAUGAAUCUCCCUGAUACUGGAAUUUUGGCCUCCCCCCUGCCCCCCAUCAGGCUUCUAGCCCUUCCCUGGGCUCAGCCGGAAGAAGAUUUGGCCAAAGUAAAUUUUUCUCUCUGAGGGAGCCAUCCAGCGCCUGGAUAGCUGGGAGCACAGAGGUCAAGGGAGGACCUUUUAGUGGUGCUGCAGAGAGUGAGCACACAGAUGAGAGGCUUUCCACCCCACCCUGACCGCACCUCCUGCCUGGGACGCCCUCUUAACCUGCUCUUGCCUGGUCCUGAAACAGCCCAGCCUGGGCCCUGACCUGCCAUUCUAGAUCUGUCACUUGGCUCAGUGGUUCAGAACCUAAACUCCUGCAUGACUAUCUUCAGGCAUUCCCGAGGUCCUGAGCUUGCCCAAACCACCUGAUUGAUUCUGGAGCCCUCUUAGGGACUCUCAGGCUCUACGCCCAACGUGGGGCUUGAACUCACGACCCCAAGAUCAAAGGCAUGCUCGACUCACUGAGCCAGCCAGGUGCCCCUGGAUCUUACUGACUUUCAAGUUAGAGUUUCCCCAUUUGGCGAGUAAGAGUGGAGCUUCAUCGGGACGCCUGGGUGGCUCCGUCGGAUACCUAUGGACCAUCUACUUACCUGCCAAUUUUUACUCCAGACACGGGGGAUUCAGGAGGAAACAGAACAAAGGUCCUGUCCUCAGGAAGCUUAUAUCACUCUGGUGGGGCAGACCGACAACAAAGAAAUACACCAUGUCAAAAUAUGUCAGGUGGUGGUAAGUGCUAAGAAGAUGAAUAGGGUAAGUAGGGGAUAGUGAUUGACAGGUUGGGGAAGAGUGUUGUCGUUUAUCCCGGUGGUUCUAGAAGGCCCUGCAGGUGAGGUGACAUCAAAGAAGAGACUUGAUGUAGACACGAGGCAAGAAUGUUCCAGGCCGCUAGACAGUAUCAUCAUAAUCACACUCUACUGAACACACCGCUUUCACCUGCCUGCCGCUGGCCCCCACAGCCGGGCAGUGACUCUUAGAAAGAAAGCAUGACAUUUGCUCGUGGGGGGUCUUCGGUUCGGAACGUGGUCCGUACCAUGUUGUUUGCAUGUGUCUGUCUCCCCCUCUAGAAAGUCUUUUGUAAUACUGAGCCGCCAGUCCAGGCAUAGCCCUUGGAACAGAGGAGAACGUUUGUGAACCGACCGCCUGGCACACAGAGAUGCAUGAACAGAGGCCAGGAGCUGGGUGUGCAGCACAGGCCGAGGGCAGAAGCACAUCCUAGGAAGGAGGCAGGAGUGAUGUCUAAUUUCAGUCGCUGCAGUUGAUUUGGUGGCUUUGUGUUGGUCUUCUACAGAAAAAUAAUCGCAAACAUCUGUAUCAUGUCAGCUGCUGUCCUAAGCACUUUGUGUAUAUUAAUGCAUUUCAUGCUCAUAAAAACUCCAUGUGACAGGUAGUAAUAUCACACCCAUUUUACAGGCCAAGGUUCUGAAGCAAGUGGUUUAGCUAAGGUCACACGGCCAAUGCUUGGGAGAGCCAGGAUGUAAACCCAAGAGCCCCUGUUCUUAUCCUUACCCCAUAGAUAUAUACUCCAUAUCCUUACCUCGAUCUUUCACUGGGGUGUUUGUGCCCUGUGUUUCUCGGAAAAGCCAAAGCGUUUUUGAGACUCAACUUCCAGGAAGGUCAAUGUAAGGCAAAGAUUUCAGAAAAAAAUGAAAUUUUAAUUAUAAGUCAUUUAAGACAUUUUUUAAUGCAGCCAAUAUGUUAUAGUGAAUAACCCAAAAAGCCAGCUGAAUUUUUAAGAUAAAAAAGGAGGCGUCCAAGCCCUGUUGGUGGGUUGCAGGGUUUCUAUCCCCAGGUCCCCUCCCCUGACUCCCAGCCCAGGGUGGCAGACUUCCCUUAUCCCAGCACAAGAGUGUGUGUGUGUGUGUGUGUGUGUGUGUGUGUGUGUGUGUGUGUAAAAGAGAGAGAGAGCGAGCGCGGGCGUCCCCAGUCACUGUGACGUCUGGAUAGAAGUGAGUCAUGAACAUGUCAGGCUGGGCUACAGUAUGAAGUGUCGCUUUCUGAUUUUUCUUCUUCAGGCCUGCGCCAGGGGUGGGGCCGGGGGGCCAGGCAGGGAAGGGGCUGGGCCUUGACUCUCCACGGAAGCUUGCCCAGGGCUCCAGAGUUUCCGGUUUGUGCCUGUGGGACAGUGUCGCACAAGGCUCAUCCUACUUAACACUGCCAGGCAGUAAUGCAGGAGGCAGGAGGGACCUCUCAUCCUCUGUACCUUAAAAUACCCCCGCCCAGGCCCAGCAUCCAGUUUGCAGAGCACAUCCUUAGGUGUUGCCUCCCGCAGAGUGAGAGGCGUGUUCUGGGACCUGUGUUUUCUGUAUGUCCGUGUAUGUCAAGCCCAGGAACCAGUGUCCUCACUGCCGUGUGCCCCAGAACGGGUCUCCCUGUGGAGGCAAUGCCCGUGGGUGUUUUAAAGGCAGAGCAAGAUGAAUGUAGGCUGACACUUCCCCCCUCUAUUGACAAGGAACUGACAGGCCUCGCAGAGGACAGACCUGGUAAUUAAUGUGCCAGCAUCUUCAUUGACAAGGCAAAAAAGCAAAUACACAAGCUGAGGGGAGUUAGUCACGCCGACGGGGGGACGGGGAUGGCGGCGGUGGGGACAGGGAAAGGGCAGGGAGGUGUGGGGCGUGUCUGGGGGAUGGGAAGGGCUCAGGCGGGGCGAGCUGGGAGCGAGCGGAGCGAGAGAACAGAAUUGUCUGUGCAUCUGGGAGGAAACGUAUGUGUGAGAGAAAGAAAACGUGAGAGAAUGUGUCUGAGAGCAAAUGUAGGGGUGGGUGAGGAGAAAUGUGCGUGUGACUGACAGAAGGAGGGAGGGAGGCGGGCGGGGUGCGGGCAGCGGGCCUCUCUCAUCCCUCCUUCAGCCACGAGGGCUUCUGGAAAGCCCUGCAGUUUGGAGUGAGGGACGUGCAGGAGAGGUGAGAUUUCAUUACCUUUCCCUUUGUGUGAUAUUUUCGUGUUAGAAAUGUAAGACGGGAACUAUAAAUAAUCCAGUCACAGCUGCGGCAUCCUGGAGAUUUAUGGUGCGUGCCAAUGCCGGCCAGCUUCGGGCGGGGGGUGGCUUUGCCUUACAGAGCCGAGAUAAAAGGCUGCCCCUCCUGCACUUGGCCCUCCCGGCCCUGGCCGGCCCCCCCCCCCCCGCCCCCUCCUGGCACAAGCCAUCCCUCCUGAGCUGCAGACUCCAGGGGAGAGAGAGGCUCACAAGUGCCUAGAAACCCCUUGUCCUGGGCAGCCUGGAGCCAAGUACCAAGUGGGCAGCCAGGGGAUGUCGGGAAGACCAGUGAGGCAGGGGCCAGUGUGGGCAAAGGCGCAGGCCUGCCGUGGGAGGCCCCCCCUUUGCUCAGCUGCCACAGACAAGGGGGGACCAACAGGUGGCCCAGCCACAGCCAGGCUCAAGUCUGAGGUCCCUGGAGCACGGGCCAAUGGCCCUCUAUUCCUGGCCUCCUUACUGGGCAGGGGUCUUUUCCUGUGCACCAUCAGCAGUACGACCAAGCUGUACUUGGUGCAAGACCCUGGUGGGGGCGGAUGGCCACCCCCACCCCCCUGCCCCGCCGCUUCCCAGGAGAGGGUGCACGCCCUGUUGGCCUGAGAAGGGGUCGUCCUCCAAGAACUUGGGAGCUGCUGGCCAGUCCAGUGACACCCCAGGGAAGAGACAGACAGUGUAUUUGGGACAGUGAGAGGGCAGGAAGGGGGCAGCCUGGUCUCCCCACGUCACCUCCCGGGAUCUCUCUCCAGCCUUGUUGUGAGGACAGGGGGAAGAGGUGCAGGAAGACAUUUGGGAGCCAGCCACAGGCUUGUCCUCGGGACUCACGGGACUAGAGGAAGAGGAAGGUCAGGGGUCUCAGGGAGAGGAGCUGGUUCAAGGCCCCCCUGUGACAUGCCUGGGCUUCCCUACAGUGUCUCACGAGUACACUUGUGUGGCUGUGUCCCACGAGCCCUAGGCUUCCCGAGGGCAAGAGACAUGGACGCACGGCUCUCACGGCAGCCUGGUGGCUACAUGCGCCCUGGCCCCGGGCUUGAUGCAUCAGUUCUGCAGAAUGGUGGGACCCUGGUGCUGACAUGUGCAUGUACGGACCCCACAGAAUGGAGCCCUGGAGGGAGUGUGUGGAGUGGGGGAGCAGAGCCACCUGGAUCUCUGAACCCCACUCGGUCCCCUCCUGUUAGUCCUUGGGCUGUCCCUGGGGCUGAGGGUCUCUGUGCCAGCCUGCCCCCGGCCCCUCCUGCCUUCUCUGGAAACCCCGGGGCUGGUGCAGCCCAGGAACUGCAGGCACCAGCCUGUCACCUCGAUGGUUCUCGCUUUGCUUCCCUUCUGAUUCUCUGAGCAAAUAUUGAACAUCCAGAGACACAUCCGAAUCCUCGGCAUGGGGUGGGAGGUGGAGGCGGUGACACAACUGGCUACUUCUUGGGGCAGGUCAGUCAAGAUCAACCUCAGCUCCAGGCCUCUGGCCGAGGGAGGCUGCUGAGGGGGUGGGGGCAUUAGUCCAGUGGGCAGAGAGGGGCCCUUCCCUCAGAGGAUUCCUUCAGGGCAUCUGGUGCGUGACUGUGGACUUCCAAAGCAGCCACACAUGGGUUGUGGCAGGGUCUUUUCCUGGGGCAGUGCGGUCUAUUUUCUGUCAGCCUCCUAAAGCAAACCAUGUCUGGGAGUGGGGCACCCGCGGUAGAAUGAAAUCCCCUGGGGUGUCCCAGAGACAGCUCAGCCAUAAGCACGAAUGACCUCAAAGCAAGCUUGCCGAAUUUCAUGAAUGGCAGAGCCGUGAUAUUCGGAAGGGGAACCGGGAUCCUCUGAGGAUGUGUCCCCGCUUGAUGCAUUCCUGAUGCACCUGUCGGGGGUCACCACUCUAUGCAUCAUCACGCUGUUCUGGGUGGUUGUGCCAGCCAGGGUGCUGACUGUAAGAGGCAGAAAUGGACUCUGACAUUCUCAAGCAGAGAAAAGAUUUGCUGGAAGGAUUGGGGGCUGCUCACAGCAUCAGUGGGAAGGCUGGAGUCCCAGCUUGGAAGGUGAGCAGGAUCCAAGAGAUGCUAGGCAGUCAGCGUCGUUGCCAAGGUCACGCCACAGGGCAGCCUGCUUAGGAUGCCUUUGCUGUUACCAUCCCUCUGCCAUCAAUGGUGUGAUGACAGGUAAUUUUGUGUGUCAACUUGACUGGACCAUGAGAUGCCCAGAUAUUUGGUCAAACAUUAUUCUGGGUGUCUCUGGAUAAGAUUAACAUUUGAAUCCUUAGGCUGAGUAAAGCAGAUUGCCCUCUCCAAUGCUAGUGGGCUUAAAUAGAACAAAAACGUGGAAGAAGGGAGAAUGUUCUCUCUGCCUAUUGAGCAGGAAAGUCAGUCUUCUCCUGCCCUUGGACUGGGAUUUACCCCAUCGGUUCUCCUGGUCCUCCAGGUCUUCGGAUUCAGACUCUUGUCCCAUGAAUACUCCUCAGGAAGGGAAAUUCCUACCCCAUCUCCCCAAAUACGGAAGGAACACUCUGGAUGGCCUUCUCAGUCUGCCCCUCCAGAGUUCCAUCCUUCUAUCUUUUCCCCCAGCUCCGAAGUCCAGGAGGCUGACCUGUGUGGGCCUCAUCGGCCGAAAUCCCAUGCCUCUGGCUUCCAGGGUCUCCCACUGGAGGAGACUGGGAAGGUGGGCGGAGAGAGGUCGGGGUAUUUUUCCCCUUGUUUCUUUCCUUUGCAGCUCUCACUCUUUUCAGCUUCCGGCCACCUCCCUCCCUGUCACAUCAAGGUCUGCAGAAUUCCUUCUGGUUUCUUUUAGCACUGCCCGCCCUAGGCAAAUAGUGCCUUUUGAAAGACUCCUCAAUUGCCCCAGUUGAGGGUAAUGCCUCUUACCUGCUGGCGCCUCACAUGGGACAGGAAGUCUGGAGAUUGGGAGGCAACAGAGCCCCAGCAAAUGCCCACAACGUGGUGGUCCAGAUGCCGAGGGGAGGCAGGGUGCACGGUACAGGGCAAGAGCGUGGACUUUGGAGACAGACUUACUAGGGUCUGAAUUCUCAGCCCGACUCUUAGUAGCUCUGUGAACUUGGUCAAGGUCUUAACCAGGCUGACCCUUCUUUGUUCUUCACCUGGGAAAUAAAAGUUCAUAUGGAUGUCAUAGGUUUAUUGUGAGAAUUGAAUGAGACGAAUUUUUAAGCACUCAGGACACCAGUGAUGGCAAAAAGGGUCUACCUUAAUGUGCCAGCUCCAACUGAUCAGUUAGGGCUCCUGGGAGCCCUGGGUGAAGAAUUCUGACCUCUCAUCCUGGCCUGGGGGUGAUGGGUGCACUCAUGAUUGAUUAGUGAUGUCUGUCAUGGUGUGGCUUGGGAAGUGGCAGUAGGAUGCACUUGCCUUUUCUGUAGUAAACACCCACUGAGUGAUAGCUAUCAAGUUUUAUAUUUCUUUGCUUCUUGGGAGGGGAAGUCGGAUUCCUAUCUGACCACCAGUGCUGCCCAGGUCCUGAGGCAUCGAGCUACCCCUCUUGGCACAUCUCAGAUUCCUCAGUAGUGCCGAUGCUCCGACCGGCCCUUGCCUUUGAUCAGCAAACUGCUUCAGCCCUAUCUGGGUUGUUUAAGGUCUUCUUUCUCUGGGAACGUUCUCUUGCUCUUUUCAGUCCCCAAAUGCCCAGCCUGAUUCUCCCCUCCGUGUCUACCACCCUCUCUCCAUAGAAAAUAAUAGGGAACUAUGUACAUUUAACUUGAAUUUCUCUGCCUCAUGUCACCUCACUUUCCAAAUCUCCCCCAUUAUCUCCUGCCCCAACCCAGGGGGCCUGGCGUUAUCCCAGCCACACACACCAGAGGAGGUUGAAGACGGAAGAGGUGAAGAGAAGCAUGGCCACAGGUGUCCUACUGUGUGAACUGGAGACUUAGUGAUCAUCAGGUGGCUCUUGGAGUAGCAAAAAAGGCUGUCCUCCACCUAGCAGCCAGUGCAAGCUUUUAAAAAUGCGAAUCAUUUCUAGCCUGAAAACCUUCCGGUGGCCUCCCGCCCCAUCUGGAAUAAAUCCAAACUUCCGACUAUGGCCUGCCUCCAUUGCAAUCUUUGGAACUUUGUGGCCUCGUCUCCCAGUCCUCUGGCACCCUCUGCCUCAGCCACAUAGGCCAGAGCCUUUGCACUUGACCUGCCUUCUCCUGGACCCCUUUGCAGUGGGGUGCUGUCAUGGCUCCAGAUUUCAGCUCGACAUGGUGACAUUAUCGGUGGCACCUUCCCUGACUUCUCCAUUUAAAUCGGUACCUCCAGGGGUUCCUGGCUGGCUCACUUGGAAGAGCAUGCGACUCUUGAUCUCAGGAUUGUGAGUUUGAACUCCACAUUGGGUGUGGAGGUUACUUAAAUUAAUAAAGAAAUAAGCUUAAAACAAACGGCAUCUUCAGUCUCUCUCUGGCCCAUCUCUCCGACUUCUUUUCUCCCGGCACUAACAGAGCCUGAGAGUCAGUUCUGCACAGAGGUAAGUGGGAGCAGCCCCCUGCAGUAGGAAGGACGCUGGAUCGGAUGGGGCGGGGCCUCCAGACCACGUGCACAUCCGACAAGGUCUCUGCCAGCCCCUGAGGCACCCAGAGCAAAGCCUGCCCAUUGGAGGAGUCCUGAAUUGGGUGCAAAAGGCUAGAUCCUGUACCACCUCUGGGCUUGGUCAAGGGCUGGAACCAUCAGCUCAGAAGCUGGGGUUCAAGAGCAUGAGAAGGCAACCCAUAGAUGGGGAGAAUAUAUUUGCAAAAGCCAGAUCUAAGUAAGAACCGUUAUCCAGAAUGUACAAAGAACUCGGCAAUGAGAAAACAAACAACCCAAUUUUUAAAAUGGGCCAAACACCUGAACAGACAUCUCACCAAAGAAGACCUACAGAUGGCAAAUAAGCAUAUGAAAAGAUGCUCCGCAUCCAAUGUCAUUUGGGAAUUGCAAAUUAAAACAACACUGAGCUGCUACCCUUAGAAAGGCCACAUUCUGGAACACCGAUGACACCAAAUGCCGGUGAGGACGUGGAACAUCAAGAGCUCUUACUCAGGGCGCCUGGCUGGCUCAGUCAGUAGAACGGGUGACUCUUGAUCUGGAGGUCAUGAGUUCGAGCCCCACGUGGGGUGUAAAGCUUACAU